rnacentral:lncRNA from 1 species
GUCUCUGUUCCUGGACUCAAGGAAAGAGGUCUUCCUCUCACUUGGGAAUGGAGUGGGAAGCGGACGUGCGUGGUCUUAGCUUUUUUUUCUCUUCCCUCUGAGAAGCAACUUCGUCAACCAACUGCAGGGCACACAACUUGACAGUUGCGGGUCCUUUCUCUGUUGUUUGCAUGCACCAUAUUCCAGCAAGAAGGGACCACGCCACAGAAAGUAUACCUCUCAUGCUAGCAACAUCUUAAUCAUCUUACAGACAAAUACAGAGACAAAAAUAUGUGCUUAGAUUCUCCGGGAAGUACAUUGCCACUACAGGAAAAGCAGCUGUGUGUAAAUAAUGAGUGAGUCAGUUUUAAGGGCAUCAAAAAUGACAGAGAAAGAAGAAAGAACAAAGAAAAAGGUCGAG